rnacentral:rRNA from 1 species
UACGUAGGGACCAAGCGUUGUUCGGAUUUACUGGGCGUAAAGUGUGCGCAGGCGGCCGAGCAAGUCGGGUGUGAAAGCCCCGGGCUUAACUUGGGAAUUGCGCUCGAAACUACUUGGCUGGAGUGUGGCAGAGGAAGGUGGAAUUCCAGGUGUAGCGGUGAAAUGCGUAGAGAUCUGGAGGAACACCGAUGGCGAAGGCAGCCUUCUGGGCCAACACUGACGCUCAUGCACGAAAGCGUGGGGAGCAAACAGG